rnacentral:misc_RNA from 1 species
AAGUCGUAACAAGGUUUCCAUAGGUGAACCUGCGGAAGGAUCAUUAUCCACGUUAAAUCCCCCGUGCACCUUCAUUCACAGGUACGCCGCGGAUCACUCGGCUCUGUUGAGCAAAAAAACAAACCCCGAAUAACAAUGGAUAUCUUGGUUCUC